CAAGUAAUUAAGUGCAUGUGGUGGAUGCCUUGGCAGUCAGAGGCGAUGAAAGACGUGAUAGCCUGCGAAAAGCUCCGGGGAGGCGGCAAAUAUCCUUUGAUCCGGAGAUGUCUGAAUGGGGGAACCCACCUACUUUAAGGUAGGUAUUGCAACAUGAAUACAUAGUGUUGCAAGGCGAACGAGGGGAAGUGAAACAUCUCAGUACCCUUAGGAAAAGAAAUCAAUUGAGAUUCCCUCAGUAGCGGCGAGCGAACGGGGAUCAGCCCAUUAAGUUAUGUGUGUUUUAGUGGAACGCUCUGGGAAGUGCGAACGUAGAGGGUGAUAUUCCCGUACACGAAAGGGCACACAUAAUGAUGACGAGUAGGGCGAGGCACGUGAAACCUUGUCUGAAUAUGGGGGGACCAUCCUCCAAGGCUAAAUACUCCUGACUGACCGAUAGUGAACCAGUACCGUGAGGGAAAGGCGAAAAGAACCCCUGUGAGGGGAGUGAAAUAGAUCCUGAAACCGCAUGCAUACAAGCAGUGGGAGCACCUUCGUGGUGUGACUGCGUACCUUUUGUAUAAUGGGUCAGCGACUUAUAUUCAGUAGCGAGGUUAACCGUAUAGGGGAGCCGUAGAGAAAUCGAGUCUUAAUAGGGCGUUUAGUUGCUGGGUAUAGACCCGAAACCAGGCGAUCUAUCCAUGAGCAGGUUGAAGGUUGGGUAACACUAACUGGAGGACCGAACCCACUGUCGUUGAAAAGCCAGGGGAUGACUUGUGGAUAGGGGUGAAAGGCUAAUCAAGCCUGGUGAUAGCUGGUUCUCCCCGAAAGCUAUUUAGGUAGCGCCUCGGACGAAUACCAUAGGGGGUAGAGCACUGUUUCGGCUAGGGGGUCAUCCCGACUUACCAAACCGAUGCAAACUCCGAAUACCUAUGAGUACUAUCCGGGAGACAGACUGCGGGUGCUAACGUCCGUAGUCAAGAGGAAAACAAUCCAGACCGCCAGCUAAGGCCCCAAAAUCAUAGUUAAGUGGGAAACGAUGUGGGAAGGCAUAGACAGCUAGGAGGUUGGCUUAGAAGCAGCCACCCUUUAAAGAAAGCGUAAUAGCUCACUAGUCGAGUCGGCCUGCGCGGAAGAUGUAACGGGGCUAAAACUAUGUGCCGAAGCUGCGGAUGUAUACUUUGUAUACGUGGUAGGGGAGCGUUCUGUAAGCCGAUGAAGGUGUGUUGAGAAGCAUGCUGGAGGUAUCAGAAGUGCGAAUGCUGACGUGAGUAACGACAAAACGGGUGAAAAACCCGUUCGCCGAAAGACCAAGGGUUCCAGUCCAACGUUAAUCGGGGCUGGGUGAGUCGACCCCUAAGGCGAGGCCGAAAGGCGUAGUCGAUGGGAAAAUGGUUAAUAUUCCAUUACUUCUGUGUAAUGCGAUGAGAGGACGGAGAAGGCUAAAUCAGCCUGGCGUUGGUUGUCCAGGUGAAAGGAUGUAGGCAUGUAUCUUAGGCAAAUCCGGGGUACUCUAUGCUGAGAUCUGAUAGCAAGCUGUACUUGUACAGCGAAGUGGUUGAUGCCAUGCUUCCAGGAAAAGUCUCUAAGCUUCAGUUACACAGGAAUCGUACCCGAAACCGACACAGGUGGUCAGGUCGAGUAGACCAAGGCGCUUGAGAGAACUCUGCUGAAGGAACUAGGCAAAAUGGUACCGUAACUUCGGGAGAAGGUACGCUGUUGUUGGUGAUGGAACUCGCUUCCUGAGCUGACGACAGCCGCAGAAACCAGGCCGCUGCAACUGUUUAUUAAAAACAUAGCACUCUGCAAACACGAAAGUGGACGUAUAGGGUGUGAUGCCUGCCCGGUGCUGGAAGGUUAAUUGAUGGGGUUAGCGUAAGCGAAGCUCUUGAUCGAAGCCCCAGUAAACGGCGGCCGUAACUAUAACGGUCCUAAGGUAGCGAAAUUCCUUGUCGGGUAAGUUCCGACCUGCACGAAUGGCAUAAUGAUGGCGGCGCUGUCUCCAGCAGAGGCUCAGUGAAAUCGAAAUCGCUGUGAAGAUGCAGUGUACCCGCGGCUAGACGGAAAGACCCCGUGAACCUUUACUGCAGCUUGACACUGAACUUUGACCUUACUUGUGUAGGAUAGGUGGGAGGCUUUGAAGCUGGAACGCUAGUUCCAGUGGAGCCGUCCUUGAAAUACCACCCUGGUAAUGUUGAGGUUCUAACUCUGUCCCGUGAUCCGGGACGAGGACCGUGUCUGGUGGGUAGUUUGACUGGGGCGGUCUCCUCCUAAAGAGUAACGGAGGAGUACGAAGGUGCGCUCAGCGUGGUCGGAAAUCACGCGUAGAGUAUAAAGGCAAAAGCGCGCUUAACUGCGAGACCCACAAGUCGAGCAGGUACGAAAGUAGGUCUUAGUGAUCCGGUGGUUCUGUAUGGAAGGGCCAUCGCUCAACGGAUAAAAGGUACUCUGGGGAUAACAGGCUGAUACCGCCCAAGAGUUCAUAUCGACGGCGGUGUUUGGCACCUCGAUGUCGGCUCAUCUCAUCCUGGGGCUGAAGCAGGUCCCAAGGGUAUGGCUGUUCGCCAUUUAAAGAGGUACGCGAGCUGGGUUUAGAACGUCGUGAGACAGUUCGGUCCCUAUCUACCGUGGGCGCUGGAAAUUUGAGAGGAUCUGCUCCUAGUACGAGAGGACCAGAGUGGACGAACCUCUGGUGUACCGGUUGUGACGCCAGUCGCAUCGCCGGGUAGCUAUGUUCGGAAGGGAUAACCGCUGAAAGCAUCUAAGCGGGAAGCCUACCUCAAGAUAAGAUUUCCCUAGGACUUUAUGUCCUCUAAAGAGCCGUUCGAGACUAGGACGUUGAUAGGUUGGAUGUGUAAGCAUAGUGAUAUGUGAAGCUGACCAAUACUAAUUGCUCGUGAGGCUUGACUA
rnacentral:rRNA from 1 species